rnacentral:rRNA from 1 species
CCUACGGGAUGCACCAGUGGGGAAUAUUGCACAAUGGGCGCAAGCCUGAUGCAGCCAUGCCGCGUGUAUGAAGAAGGCCUUCGGGUUGUAAAGUACUUUCAGCGAGGAGGAAGGCGUUAAGGUUAAUAACCUUGGCGAUUGACGUUACUCGCAGAAGAAGCACCGGCUAACUCCGUGCCAGCAGCCGCGGUAAUACGGAGGGUGCAAGCGUUAAUUGGAAUUACUGGGCGUAAAGCGCACGCAGGCGGUCGGUUAAGUCAGAUGUGAAAUCCCCGGGCUCAACCUGGGAACUGCAUUUGAAACUGGCAGGCUUGAGUCUUGUAGAGGGGGGUAGAAUUCCAGGUGUAGCGGUGAAAUGCGUAGAGAUCUGGAGGAAUACCGGUGGCGAAGGCGGCCCCCUGGACAAAGACUGACGCUCAGAUGCGGAAGCGUGGGGAGCAAACAGGAUUAGAUACCCUUGUAGUC